AUUCCCUGGGGCGGCGGGGUUGGCUCUAACGAAUUUGAAUGAGGAGCCUCAGCGCUUUCGGCGCCAUUUUCGAGUGAUGCCUGAUCUCAUCAAUCUAGCGGGAGAGACAGGAUAACCUGUCCGAGAGUAUAGCGCCACUAUGACUCCGCCGGAAAAAUUACUUUAAAAAUCGCCAAAAAUUACUUGGAGCAAAGGGCAGUCGGCGGAGCUUCGCCAAGGCUGGCGCAGUCGGUUUUGACCUGUAGCAGAGAACCAAUUCUGGAGAACAGCCUCACUUCUUUGAUUGAAUACUUACAUAAUGCAUUGGAACAUGACAUGAGAUUAAGGUUUAAUAAUGAUAGAAUGAAGACCACAAUAAAAGAGACCUCUACUUAGCUCAGCAAUUCUUACCUUUCUUACCUAUUUGAUGAAGAUGUCUUUUGAAAGGUGUACUGCAAGGAACAAAAUGUUUGUAAAUUCUCCUUUUACCAAGGUGGAUAAUUACUGUACCUUCCUCAUGGAAAAAGUUUUAUUUAAAGUGUUAUUUCUCAUUGAAUACUAUCAAAAAGGAAAAAAAAAUGACCUAAACUUUUGAGAUAGAUUUGGCUCUAGUAAGUAUUUAGUUAUAUCACUUGCAUAUCUGGGAGAAGAAAUAAGAGACUAUCAUCAGUACAUUCCCAUCUACUAAAAAAAUUUAUUUUACACAUGUCAAGGGAUUACUUAUAACUUCCAUUUUAUUACUAAUAGCUUGAACCCUUUUAAUGAAGACCUAACUCCUCCACCAGAAAUUUAAGUUUAUGUUCUUACUUUGUUUACUUAUAAAAUACAUCUCAGGUAUUUCGGAUGUCUUUUUUUUUUCUAAGCCUAUAUGAAAUGAAAAAUAUAUUGGCAAAAUAAAUGUUUAAACCUUUUACGUUAAAAUUACUUUGAAAGAUGAAAAGUUAGUGCUGUUUUUGUCUACGUUAUACUGAAAUUAAAUGUUUAUAAUUUAUAUUUUGGGUUUAUGUAUAAAUCAUGGAAUUUAUGCAAAAAUAUGAGUAGUACAGAUUCUCCUCUAAUUCUGUAGGACUUUGAAUAAUGUGAUAUUUUUCUUAUAAUUGGACCCUUGUGUUUUGAAGAAAUGCCAACUGCUUGAAGAAUCUCCUUGUUAUUUGUAUUAUUUGCUAUAGGGUUAGAUGUUGAGAAAUUCUGCUGACAAAAAAUUUUAAGCCAGUUUUACACUAAAUGUUCCUCAGUCUGAUUAAUUUGUUAUUGGAUGUAUUCUGUAUCUUUCUUUUGUAAUUUGUAACUUUUAUCCACUUAGCACGAAUGAUUCUAUUAAAGAAAAUCAUUAGGAAGUGGUAGAAACUUUAAAUCGCCCCAGAGUUUGCCUGUUUCCAUAUUUUAUUAUCUUAUAAUCUUCGGGAGUGCUUACACUUAUGGAGCUAACAUUUUCAGAGAUACAGCUUCUUAUAGUAACACUAAAACUUUCUUCCUCUUUGGACUGAAUACCUAUAAUUAUAACUAUAUGGUAGUUUAAGUUUCCUUGUGAUUAGUCAAAAAUACCAUUUUAGUAUGAAGCAAUGAAGUCUAUUAUUUGUUGUCCCAUAAUUGAGAAAGCUUAAAUACACCUUUUAUUAAGAGUUUGUAAAUUCUAGCUUAGUCUACACAGAUUUUUAUAUCAAUUUGUUUAUAUUUUUAUUAAUGUCAUUUCUGGAAGUGUGAAAAUGUUAAUGUUCAACAAGCAACAUUAAAAAUAGAUUUGAAACAUUUAUAUAUAGAGAGGUACACAUUUAUUUACUGUUUAGGUACUGAAGAUUAUCACUUAAUAAAAAAUAUAUAUCCCAG
rnacentral:lncRNA from 10 species